ACUCCUGCGGGAGGCAGCAGUGGGGAAUUUUGGACAAUGGGCGAAAGCCUGAUCCAGCAAUGCCGCGUGAGUGAAGAAGGCCUUCGGGUUGUAAAGCUCUUUUGUCAGGGAAGAAACGGUGAGAGCUAAUAUCUUUUGCUAAUGACGGUACCUGAAGAAUAAGCACCGGCUAACUACGUGCCAGCAGCCGCGGUAAUACGUAGGGUGCAAGCGUUAAUCGGAAUUACUGGGCGUAAAGCGUGCGCAGGCGGUUUUGUAAGUCUGAUGUGAAAUCCCCGGGCUCAACCUGGGAAUUGCAUUGGAGACUGCAAGGCUAGAAUCUGGCAGAGGGGGGUAGAAUUCCACGUGUAGCAGUGAAAUGCGUAGAUAUGUGGAGGAACACCGAUGGCGAAGGCAGCCCCCUGGGUCAAGAUUGACGCUCAUGCACGAAAGCGUGGGGAGCAAACAGGAUUAGAAACCCUGGUAGUCCCAUGA
rnacentral:rRNA from 1 species